GCUCAGGGAAACUUGAGGUAAUGCCCUUAUAAGACCACGUCUGGGGACGGAUGCGGUAAAAGGCGGGGAGCAAUCCUUGCGCUUGAAGAUGAGCCUGCGGCCUAUCAGCUAGUUGGCGGGGUAAUGGCCCACCAAGGCGAAGACGGGUAGCCGGCCUGAGAGGGCGAACGGCCACACUGGGACUGAGACACGGCCCAGACUCCUACGGGAGGCAGCAGUGGGGAAUUUUCCGCAAUGGGCGCAAGCCUGACGGAGCGACGCCGCGUGAGGGAUGAAGGCCUUCGGGUCGUAAACCUCUUUUGCAAGGGAAAAACGCGUACGUGCUAACACCACGGACGUUUGAUGGUACUUUGCGAAUAAGCCCCGGCUAACUACGUGCCAGCAGCCCGCGGUAAAACGUAGCGUUGUCCGGAAUUACUGGGCGUAAAGCGCGUGUA
rnacentral:rRNA from 1 species